rnacentral:lncRNA from 10 species
UCAUCAUCUCAUCUCAUCAUUUCAUUUCAUCAUUCAUCUCAUCAUCUCAUCAUUCAUCUCAUCAUUUCAUAUCAUCAUUUUAUCUCAUCUAUCAUUUCAUCUCAUUUCAUCUCAUCUCAUUCCAUCAUUACAUCUCAUUUCAUCUCAUUUUAUGUCAUCAUUUCAUGUCAUCAUUUCAUCACAUCUCAUCUCAUCAUUUCAUCUCAUCAUUUCAUCAUUUCAUCUCAUUUCAACUCAUUGCAUCUCAGCUCAUCAUUUCCAUUUCAUUAUUCCGUUUCAUCAUUUCAUUCAUUAUGUCAUUUCAUCUCAUAUUUCAUCUCAU